AAUUAUUUCAAUUUUCUUUUACAAUACUAUUAAACUAUAAUAAAAUUUAUUUUUUCUUUAUAAAAUACUAAAACAAAUAACUAUAUAAUUAUUUUUAAUAAUUAAUAUGUAUAAAAUAAAAAUAUUAAUAAAUAAAAUUUAAUCAAUUUAUAUUGAUUUGCACAAAAAUCUUUUCAAUGUAAAUGAAAUACUUUACUUAAUAAGCUUUAAAUUGCAUUCUAGGUACACUUUCCAGUACAUCUACUAUGUUACGACUUAUCUUACCUUAAUAGCAAGAGUGACGGGCGAUGUGUGCAUAUUUUAGAGCUAAAAUCAAAUUAUUAAUCUUUAUAAUUUUACUAUCAAAUCCACUUUUAACAAAUUUUUCAUAAUUGUAUCCAUAUAAAUAAUUUUAUUGUAACCCAUUUCUACUUAAAUAUAAGCUACACCUUGAUCUGAUAUAUUUUCUUUUAAAAAAUUCUGAAAAUUAACAUUCUUAUAAAAUAUUCUAAUAACGACGGUAUAUAAACUGAUUACAAAUUUAAGUAAGGUCCAUCGUGGAUUAUCGAUUAUAAAACAGGUUCCUCUGAAUAGACUAAAAUACCGCCAAAUUUUUUAAGUUUCAAGAACAUAACUA
rnacentral:rRNA from 1 species